GAGGGUUUUGCUCAGUGGUAGAGUGCCUGCUUAGCAUACUCGAGGUACUGGGUUCAAUCCCCAGUACCUCCA
rnacentral:tRNA from 1 species